rnacentral:lncRNA from 1 species
UGAAACAUAAACAGAUGGAAAAAUAUGAAGUAACACAACAAUAUUCCAGAACAGUAUAUGUAUAAAAAAUCACUUACAAAAACUCAAACUAGUAAUUCAAAAUAAAAAAAUAUUCCCAAAUCAUACCAAGCCACAGAAACAGCGUCCUUACCAUGCAUAAUAAUCAAAACACGUUAUCCAUAUUGCCAAUAACCAAACAUUCACACAAACAGACUUAUUUUUAGAUGCAAAACGAAUGCAACAAGUCAAACGUCCCACCCCACCAACC